CCAAUAUUAUAAAAGCCCCCACAAUUAAGCACCAAAGAGUUUUGGUACAUUAACUUGGGAGGAAACAGAGACACUUGUUAACUGUAAUGGGUUGGCAUUGGUCACGCUGAUCCAAUGUUUCAAAUGGGUAAGUGAAUGUUGAUUGCCGACGUGACUGAAGACCCAAGGCCCAACGACCUACU